GUCUUCGUGGCUUAGGCGGGAGAACACCCGACUAUGGUGCUAGGUAUGGUAGAACUCGGGUUCGAGCCCCGGUGAAGGAACA